UACGGGGGGUGCGAGCGUUGUCCGGAUUCACUGGGCGUAAAGGGCGCGUAGGCGGCCGGGUCAGUCGGGCCUGUAAGUGCGGGGCUCAACCCCGUGAUGGGCUCGGGACGGCCCGGCUGGGGCGCGGUCGAGGGAGACGGAAUGCCGGGUAUAGUGGUGAAAUGCGUAGAGAUCCGGCGGAACACCGGUGGUGAAGACGGUCUCCUGGGCCGAGGGCCGACGCUGAGGCGCGAGAGCGUGGGGAGCGAACCGG
rnacentral:rRNA from 1 species